CCGGCGACCGGCGCACGGGUGAGUAACACGUAUGCAACCUGCCCUCUUCAGGGGACGAACCUUCCGAAAGGGAGGCUAAUCCCGCGUAUAUCGGUUUCGGGCAUCCGAGAUCGAGGAAAGAUUCAUCGGAAGAGGAUGGGCAUGCGGCGCAUUAGCUAGACGGCGGGGUAACGGCCCACCGUGGCGACGAUGCGUAGGGGUUCUGAGAGGAAGGUCCCCCACACUGGUACUGAGACACGGACCAGACUCCUACGGGAGGCAGCAG
rnacentral:rRNA from 1 species